CUGGUGUAUUGAGAAACUUUCAACAGACGUAUGAAGUUGAAGCUGAGCAGGCAAAAGGAGAUGAGUUUAGAAAAACUCGAGAAGAGGGAGAGGUGAGAUAACCUGUGGCUUCUCAGGACAUGUAUUCUCUUGUCUUUGUGGUGAUGUGGAGGGACCCACUGACCAGAAGAUACAUCAUUGCCUGAACACUGGCAGGAAAGGAAGAGCUGCCAAGUACCAACCAGAAUCUAAACGGAGAUUGUUGAAGGAUGGAAGAAGAAAUUAGAUAUAGGCUGUCAGUGCACAUAUUUUUUGCAUUAAAUUAUAAACAAUAUGCUGUUAAUAUUUAAAUCACGGAGGAAUACCAGAAGAGAAAAUAUGUGUCCUUGUUUUUCUAUCAUUUCACUUUCUCCUCACCAUGUCAAUAUCAAAAGUAUACUGUGUCUUUGUACUCCAUGUCAUCAGGCAUAUGCCUAUCUGCAAGUACACAACACUGCAGAGAUGGUAAGACAAAAGCUUUAUUAAAUUUAAUGCCCGAUGCAGAAUUUUAAAUUUGUUGUCUUCAACUCAAAUGUAAUAUUUUGGGGUUUUUGGUACUUAUAAGCUUGACAAAUCAACUUUAUGUUCUUGAGUUAAAGGCAAAUAAGAAGCAUUCAGAAAACUUCAUGAACAUCAAAUGUCAAUUGCAACACAAGAUUUUGAUACAACUCUUGAUUUGACUGGAUUACUUCCCAACCCUCAGUAAUGCUCCAUUGUGGGAGCCUGUGUCUCAACAGUUCACACCUGCCGUUUACUCCACUGGGUUGUGAAGAUUCACAGAAGAUGACAGGAAGGGGGGAUAAAUAAGCUAAAAUAAACUUUAGAGGAUGGCCCCAUUGCUGUGGUUCUCUGAUCUUGGUUGUUGUCUAUAGAGCUGUCCUUCAAAGACAUUGAUAUGCAGCUGUAUUUUAGAAACAUUUCCUCUUCCAGGUUAGGAGUCUUUUCCAAAUUAAAGAUUCAGUCAAGGGAAUUGGUUUAGAACCAAUUGGUUUAGAACUUCCUCUUCUUGCCUUCCUAAAAACCUAAAAUCUUUGCACAUAAACACAAAACCAAAAAAGUGUAAGCUUUUGAUUCAGGCAGUCUGGGGAUUGUGUCUCGGUUCUGUUUCAUUACUGGCUGUAUAACCUGGAGUAAGUAUCUUCUGAAACACAUUUCCCUCUUUUAUAAACAUGAAGAUACUAGUCCUUCCCUCACUGAGCCAUUUCAAGAAUUAAUAAAAUAUACUGUUUACUUCACAGAGUGUUUUGUAAGUAGUAGAAGCUCAGUGAAUAUUACUUUCUCUCCUCCUUUAUUCUAAUAUCUUAGUAUCUACAUUUCAUAUAUUUUGGUUCAAAUCAUAAAAUUAUUAAAUAAGUCAUCAAGAACAAAGUAAGAAUCAAUCAAAUUGUCAAAAACAACACCCAUUGUCUAUUCAAAGUUCUCCUAAUUUUUGAUGCCUAAGGAUACAGAGUGAU
rnacentral:lncRNA from 1 species